CAGCAGCCGCGGGAAUACGUAGGGUGCAAGCGUUAAUCGGAAUUACUGGGCGUAAAGCGUGCGCAGGCGGUUAUAUAAGACAGAUGUGAAAUCCCCGGGCUCAACCUGGGAACUGCAUUUGUGACUGUAUAGCUAGAGUACGGCAGAGGGGGAUGGAAUUCCGCGUGUAGCAGUGAAAUGCGUAGAUAUGCGGAGGAACACCGAUGGCGAAGGCAAUCCCCUGGGCCUGUACUGACGCUCAUGCACGAAAGCGUGGGGAGCAAACAGGAUUAGAUACCCGCGUAGUCCCUGUCUCUUAUAU
rnacentral:rRNA from 1 species